GGCGGACGGGUGAGUAAUGCGUAGGAAUUUACCUCAAAGCGGGGGAUAGCCCGGAGAAAUCCGGAUUAAUACCGCUUGUGCUCUACGGAGGAAGGCGGGCCUCUACUUGUAAGCUCGCACUUUGAGAUAAGCCUACGUCGGAUUAGCUUGUUGGUGGGGUAAAAGCCUACCAAGGCGACGAUCCGUAGCUGGUUUGAGAGGAUGAUCAGCCACACUGGGACUGAGACACGGCCCAG
rnacentral:rRNA from 1 species